UCUGAUCAAUGAUUGAUAACAAAACUUGAAAUUGUGACUGUUGGAUGAAACAUGCGGAUAUGGGACUGAGAUCAGGA
ensembl:snoRNA small nucleolar RNA SNORD99